UUAGAUACCCUGGUAGUCCACGCCGUAAACGAUGGAUACUAGGUGUGGGGGGACUGACCCCCUCCGUGCCGCAGCUAACGCAAUAAGUAUCCCACCUGGGGAGUACGAUCGCAAGGUUGAAACUCAAAGGAAUUGACGGGGGCCCGCACAAGCGGUGGAGUAUGUGGUUUAAUUCGAAGCAACGCGAAGAACCUUACCAGGGCUUGACAUCCUGCUAACGAACCAGAGAUGGAUUAGGUGCCCUUCGGGGAAAGCAGAGACAGGUGGUGCAUGGUUGUCGUCAGCUCGUGUCGUGAGAUGUUGGGUUAAGUCCCGCAACGAGCGCAACCCUUAUUGUUAGUUGCUACGCAAGAGCACUCUAACGAGACUGCCGUUGACAAAACGGAGGAAGGUGGGGACGACGUCAAAUCAUCAUGCCCCUUACGUCCUGNGCCACACACGUACUACAAUGGCGGCCAACAAAGAGAGGCAAGACCGCGAGGUGGAGCAAAUCUCAAAAAGCCGUCCCAGUUUCNGAUCGCANGCUGCAACCCGCCUGCGUGAAGUUGGAAUCGCUAGUAAUCGCGGAUCAGCAUCCCGCGGUGAAUACGUUCCCGGGCCUUGUACACACCGCCCGUCACACCAUGANAAUCGGGAACCCCCGAAGUCCCGUACCUAACCGCAAAGGGGGCCGCGGCCGAAAGUUGGGUUCGAUAAUUGGGGUGAAAAUCGUAACCAAGUAAGC
rnacentral:rRNA from 1 species